UACGUAGGGUGCGAGCGUUAAUCGGAAUUACUGGGCGUAAAGUGUGCGCAGGCGGCUUCGCAAGUCGAGCGUGAAAUCCCCGAGCUUAACUUGGGAAUUGCGCUCGAAACUACGGAGCUGGAGUGUGGCAGAGGAAGGUGGAAUUCCACGUGUAGCGGUGAAAUGCGUAGAGAUGUGGAGGAACACCGAUGGCGAAGGCAGCCUUCUGGGCCAACACUGACGCUCAUGCACGAAAGCGUGGGGAGCAAACAGG
rnacentral:rRNA from 1 species